rnacentral:rRNA from 1 species
GACGAACGCUGGCGGCGUGCUUAACACAUGCAAGUCGAACGGAAAGGCCUUGCUUUUGUGGGGUGCUCGAGUGGGGAACGGGUGUGUAACACGUGAGUAACCUGCCCUUUACUUUGGGAUAACUUCAGGAAACUGGGGCUAAUACCGGAUAUGAGCUCCUUCUGCACGGGGGGGUUUGGAAAGUUUGGGUGGUUGGGGAUGGACUCGCGGCUUAUCAGCUUGUUGGUGGGGUAGUGGCUUACCAAGGCUUUGACGGGUAGCCGGCCUGAGAGGGUGACCGGCCACAUUGGGACUGAGAUACGGCCCAGACUCCUACGGGAGGCAGCAGUGGGGAAUAUUGCACAAUGGGCGGAAGCCUGAUGCAGCGACGCCGCGUGAGGGAUGACGGCCUUCGGGUUGUAAACCGCUUUCGCCUGUGACGAAGCGAGAGUGACGGUAAUGGGUAAAGAAGCACCGGCUAACUACGUG